GGUGUUUCAAAUGUAGCGUUGAGAAGUUGACUAUUUUUUCCCACACCCGCCUCCUGUUUAUUCUGGAAUGGAGAUUCCGGAAAAGCACGUUUCACAUGAGAAUGGGAAUGGGAGAAAAAGUAAGAUGAUGUUUAAUGACUUCCACUGCCGCAUUUUGUCUUUUAAGACUUACCCUCUUUUGGGCUUAAUUCAGACAGUGGAUGUUUCAUCAAAUAGUCUUGUACUGCUAGCGCUUCCAUAAAUGGCUGAAUCUCGUUGCAUUACAACUGAGUUUAUCCAGGAUUGAAGUAUAUUUUAUAGACCGAGAACUACUUGAAAAAAAU
rnacentral:lncRNA from 1 species